UCAGGCCUAACACAUGCAAGUCGAGCGGUUUAAAGUACUUGUACUUUAGAUAGCGGCGGACGGGUGAGUAAUGCUUAGGAAUCUGCCUAUUAGUGGGGGACAACAUUUCGAAAGGGAUGCUAAUACCGCAUGAGUCCUACGGGAGAAAGCAGGGGAUCUUUAUGACCUUGCGCUAAUAGAUGAGCCUAAGUCGGAUUAGCUAGUUGGUGGGGUAAAGGCCUACCAAGGCGACGAUCUGUAGCGGGUCUGAGAGGAUGAUCCGCCACACUGGGACUG
rnacentral:rRNA from 1 species